rnacentral:rRNA from 1 species
UUGAACGCUGGCGGCAUGCUUUACACAUGCAAGCCGAACGGCAGCGCGGGCUUCGGCCUGGCGGCGAGUGGCGAACGGGUGAGUAAUGCAUCGGAACGUGCCCAGUAGUGGGGGAUAGCCCGGCGAAAGCCGGAUUAAUACCGCAUACGACCUGAGGGUGAAAGCGGGGGACCGAAAGGCCUCGCGCUAUUGGAGCGGCCGAUGUCGGAUUAGCUAGUUGGUGGGGUAAAGGCUUACCAAGGCGACGAUCCGUAGCUGGUCUGAGAGGACGACCAGCCACACUGGGACUGAGACACGGCCCAGACUCCUACGGGAGGCAGCAGUGGGGAAUUUUGGACAAUGGGGGCAACCCUGAUCCAGCCAUGCCGCGUGCGGGAAGAAGGCCUUCGGGUUGUAAACCGCUUUUGUUCGGGAAGAAAUCCUCUGGGCUAAUACCCCGGGGGGAUGACGGUACCGGAAGAAUAAGCACCGGCUAACUACGUG